UACGGAGGGAGCAAGCGUUACUCGGAAUUAUUGGGCGUAAAGGGCGCGUAGGCGAUCUGAAAAGUUCUGUGUGAAAGCCCACAUGUUAACUGUGGAAGUGCACAGAAAACUGUUGGAUUUGAGUUCAGGAGAGGAAGGCAGAAUUCCCGGUGUAGCGGUGAAAUGCGUAGAGAUCGGGAGGAAUACCAGUGGCGAAGGCGGCCUUCUGGGCCAACACUGACGCUCAUGCACGAAAGCGUGGGGAGCAAACAGG
rnacentral:rRNA from 1 species